GAUGAACGCUGGCGGCGUACCUAAUACAUGCAAGUCGAGCGAACGGACGAGAAGCUUGCUUCUCUGAUGUUAGCGGCGGACGGGUGAGUAACACGUGGAUAACCUACCUAUAAGACUGGGAUAACUUCGGGAAACCGGAGCUAAUACCGGAUAAUAUUUUGAACCGCAUGGUUCAAAAGUGAAAGACGGUCUUGCUGUCACUUAUAGAUGGAUCCGCGCUGCAUUAGCUAGUUGGUAAGGUAACGGCUUACCAAGGCAACGAUGCAUAGCCGACCUGAGAGGAUGAUCAGCCACACUGGAACUGAGACACGGUCCAGACUCCUACGGGAGGCAGCAGUAGGGAAUCUUCCGCAAUGGGCGAAAGCCUGACGGAGCAACGCCGCGUGAGUGAUGAAGGUCUUCGGAUCGUAAAACUCUGUUAUUAGGGAAGAACAUAUGUGUAAGUAACUGUGCACAUCUUGACGGUACCUAAUCAGAAAGCCACGGCUAACUACGUG
rnacentral:rRNA from 1 species